GCUCAGGAUNAACGCUGGCGGUAUGCUUAACACAUGCAAGUCGAACGGAAUCUUCGGAUUUAGUGGCGGACGGGUGAGUAACGCGUGAGAAUCUAGCUCUAGGUCGGGGACAACCACUGGAAACGGUGGCUAAUACCGGAUGUGCCGAAAGGUGAAAGAUUUAUUGCCUAGAGAUGAGCUCGCGUCUGAUUAGCUAGUUGGUGUGGUAAGAGCGCACCAAGGCGACGAUCAGUAGCUGGUCUGAGAGGAUGAUCAGCCACACUGGGACUGAGACACGGCCCAGACUCCUACGGGAGGCAGCAGUGGGGAAUUUUCCGCAAUGGGCGAAAGCCUGACGGAGCAAUACCGCGUGAGGGAGGAAGGCUCUUGGGUUGUAAACCUCUUUUCUCAGGGAAUAAGAAAGUGAAGGUACCUGAGGAAUAAGCAUCGGCUAACUCCGUGCCAGCAGCCGCGGUAAUACGGAGGAUGCAAGCGUUAUCCGGAAUGAUUGGGCGUAAAGCGUCCGCAGGUGGCACUGUAAGUCUGCUGUUAAAGAGCAAGGCUCAACCUUGUAAAGGCAGUGGAAACUACAGAGCUAGAGUACGUUCGGGGCAGAGGGAAUUCCUGGUGUAGCGGUGAAAUGCGUAGAGAUCAGGAAGAACACCGGUGGCGAAAGCGCUCUGCUAGGCCGUAACUGACACUGAGGGACGAAAGCUAGGGGAGCGAAUGGGAUUAGAUACCCCAGUAGUCCUAGCCGUAAACGAUGGAUACUAGGCGUGGCUUGUAUCGACCCGAGCCGUGCCGGAGCCAACGCGUUAAGUAUCCCGCCUGGGGAGUACGCACGCAAGUGUGAAACUCAAA
rnacentral:rRNA from 1 species